rnacentral:rRNA from 1 species
AUACGGAGGACGCGAGCGUUAUCCGGAUUCAUUGGGUUUAAAGGGUGCGCAGGCGGCCGUGCAAGUCAGCGGUGAAAGCCCGGGGCCCAACCCCGGAAGUGCCGUUGAUACUGCAUGGCUUGAAUGCGGUCGAGGCGGGCGGAACGUGGAGUGUAGCGGGGGAAUGCGUAGAUAUGCCACAGACCGCCGAUAGCGGAGGCAGCUCGCCAGGCCUGCAUUGACGCUCGGGCACGAAAGCGUGGGGAUCGAACAGGAUUAGAUACCCUGGUAGUCCACGCCGUAAACGAUGGGCGCUCGUCGUCGGCGGCAGACAGUCGGCGGCCAAGCGAAAGCGAUAAGCGCCCCACCUGGGGAGUACGGUCGCAAGGCUGAAACUCAAAUGAAUUGACGGGG